rnacentral:rRNA from 1 species
GAUGAACGCUGACAGCAUGCUUAACACAUGCAAGUCAACUUGAACUUCGGUUUGGGUGGCGGACGGGUGAGUAACGCGUAAAGAACUUGCCUCACAGAUAGGGACAACAUUUGGAAACGAAUGCUAAUACCUGAUAUUAUGAUUAUAUGGCAUCGUAUAAUUAUGAAAGCUAUAUGCGCUGUGAGAGAGCUUUGCGUCCCAUUAGCUAGUUGGAGAGGUAACGGCUCACCAAGGCGAUGAUGGGUAGCCGGCCUGAGAGGGUGAUCGGCCACUAGGGGACUGAGACACGGCCCUUACUCCUACGGGAGGCAGCAGUGGGGAAUAUUGGACAAUGGACCAAGAGUCUGAUCCAGCAAUUCUGUGUGCACGAUGAAGUUUUUCGGAAUGUAAAGUGCUUUCAGUUGGGAAGAAAAAAAUGACGGUACCAACAGAAGAAGUGACGGCUAAAUACGUG